rnacentral:rRNA from 1 species
CAACAGGGAUUGCCUUAGUAGCGGCGAGUGAAGCGGCAAUAGCUCAAAUUUGAAAUCUGGCACCUUCGGUGUCCGAGUUGUAAUUUGAAGAAGGUAUCUUUGGUUUUGGCUCUUGUCUAUGUUCCUUGGAACAGGACGUCACAGAGGGUGAGAAUCCCGUGCGAUGAGAUGCCCAAUUCCAUGUAAAGUUCCUUCGACGAGUCGAGUUGUUUGGGAAUGCAGCUCUAAGUGGGUGGUAAAUUCCAUCUAAAGCUAAAUAUUGGCGAGAGACCGAUAGCGAACAAGUACUGUGAAGGAAAGAUGAAAAGAACUUUGAAAAGAGAGUGAAAAAGUACGUGAAAUUGUUGAAAGGGAAGGGCUUGAGAUUAGACUUGGAAUUUUCCAUUUAUGGAGCUUUCCGGGCCAGCAUCAGUUUGGAUGGCAGGAUAAUUGCGUUGGAAAGUAGCACCACUUCGGUGGUGUGUUAUAGACUUCGUCGAUACUGCCUAUCUAGACUGAGGACCGCGUCUUUGACUAGGAUGCUGGCGUAAUGA